UCUUUCUCCAGUUUUCUAGAAGCCAGGUCAUGGACAGUCUUGUGGGAUGACCCACAGUGUGAAGAAAAAUAACUUCCUGCUAAGACACAUGUGAGGGUGUUUAGAUUGGAUCCUAUAAUCCCAGUCUUAUUUUCAGAGACCAUAUUUAUGGCUGACAGCUUAACCACAAUCUCAUGAGAGACAUCCUCUGUAGCCAAGGCCCAGGCUGUACUUUGGCCCACUUUAGCCACAGCUGGAGUGGCUGGGACGCAGGACACCAAAUCCUGAAACUGCGCAAAGCAGCAAGUCUUUGCGCCUGGCUCAUAAAACCGUUUUUUUUUUUUCCUCCUAGGCUUCCUGGCUUGUGAUGAAACAGGCUGCUGUGAAGUUUUAUGGGCAUUAAAGUCUCAGCAUUGUAAUAUUCUAAGCACGUGCAGAUAUACAUUCAUACUUUGAGGCGGCUGGCAAGAUGGCGGAAUAGAAACAGCUUCGGUCUGCAGCUCCCAGCGAGAUCAACCCAGAAGGCGGGUGAUUUCUGCAUUUCCAACUAAGGCUACAAGCCUGUACAGAAUGUUAUGACACUGUAUACUGGAGGCAACUGUAACACAAUGGAUCUAUUGCUUUCAACUUAUAAGUUUGAUCAACUGCUGCCAAAAGGAGAGUUUUAUCUUCAGAUAAAAAUGAUUGAAUAUGAUGGUUAAAGAUUUCUUUUAUUAUAAAACUCGCUAUUUUUGAAACAGACCCUUUAUCAAGAAAAGCAGUGCUUGUGCAUUCUUCCAAAAGUAUUCUGAUAAGUUUCUCACAUACAACAUUGAGAAGAAAAACUGAUUUUGAGGAGAGCUGUAGGUUAUUGGUAAGUAUGCUAUUAGGUUGUUCAUUAUUUGAGGAGUAGAAAUAUGUUCUUUGUAUUUUACCAGAAUCCAUACCCAUAUCUAGGCAUUCAUCUGGUGAAAAUAAAUCUGAAACAAUAUUAAAAACUUUAUUGACUACUUCUUUGGAUUCACUUGUUUUUAGGUUACCAACCAGGCUGUUUAACUUACAUGCAAGAUAACUUAACUUAUUUUUUUGAAAAAGUUGAUCAAUUUGUUGAGUAGAAAAUUGCCAGUCUCUGGGGCUUGCCUGUCUAUUGAUUUUGUUGCAAAUGGGUACACUAUUAUUUCUAUGCAUAGAAAAUGAUUUGUUUCUUUCAUUGCUUUCAAAGUGAUAAUCUACUUCUAUUUCUUUGGACAGUACAUGAAUCACUCCUACUAAGAGAUCCUGAAAGAGGUCAUCAAAGCCACCAGAAACUAUUCCUGGACAGAGGAGGUUUUAUAGGUGUGGUUGGUCUCCUGACUGACAUGUCAACUACAAAUGCACAGGGUUCUGCCUGAAAUGUUUUAGUUGUUGCAGAUGUGUAGCUUCUAUAUGUAAAGUCUUCACUGCAUGUGCUACAGCAACUUGAACUAUCUGAAGAGAGGAUGGAGUCAUCAGAUACUGGGAACAAGAAAACUAAGCAAUAAGUGAGAAAAGAAAUGAUGGAAUAGAUGUGAGGCUUCCACAGCAAACUCCUAUAAAACCUGGAGUUAAACCUGAGCAAGAGGAAUGUGACAUAUGUGUCUUUGCUCUUUAUUUGGAUCUGUGUGUAUGCUCUUGGAGCAGUGGCGAAGAAGCUCCAGGUAAGGUAUAGAGUUCUUUAUUUUUCAUCAAGCUAAGAUUUUUAAUGAAACAAUAUCCAAAAUGCUUGCUAUGAAAGAUUCAAGUGAUUUUUGUAGUUCUACAUUCUUGGGUAGGAGAAGAUAAAAAAUGCAGUUAUUACAACUAUAUUAUGAGCCUCUUCUAACCUUUAAAGAGGUAGGUAUUUAUAUUUCUAAUAAAUAAAAACGUUUGUAUCAAAUAAAUAAAAUAAACAAUGUUAUUUUACAUAUGGUCUACA